rnacentral:lncRNA from 1 species
GGAAUUUCAUAUAAUUGGACCUAAUCUAAAUAUGUUCUUGAACUGUUGUUCAUUACUCAUGGUAGAACACUUGUCUAGCAUAUAUAAGAUAAGGCCCUAGGUUUGAUCCCCAAUUCACUUUAGAAAAAUGAAUCCUAUUGUGCUAAUUUUCCCACAUGUACAUUUCAUGACGCAGAACCUUUUGAUGGAACUAAUACCGCCAGAGCUGUGCAUGAGAAGCAGAAGUUUGAUAUGAUCAAGGAUCAAUUUCUAAAGUCAUGGCAGAGAUUGAAAAACAAGAGAGAUCUGAACAGUGUUCUACCUUUGAGAGCUGCUACCCUGAAAAGAUAACUGGUCUCUAAUUCUAAAAUUCUUCCAAGAAAUAAAGAACAAUACAUACGUCAUAAUUCAUUUGCUUACCUCCAUCAUGGUUUUUUUAAUGGUCUUGUUUUCAUGUUUUAUUUUUAAAAGGACAUACUUAUAUAAAGAUUGCAUAUUUUAUUAUGACAUUUCCUAAUAAACUCUUUGAUUUAAAAAUGUAUUUUUGAAAAUGUUUACAUCAAUGAUUAGUAGUAUUAUGGCAUGACUUUUCAGCAUAAAAUAUAUUUUGAGAAAUUACCUGAACUAAUAAGGUUUUGAUAUAUUCUCAAGUACUUGUACCACAUGCUUAUACUGAAGAACUCUGUGGAGUUUUGCAAAGGACCUAAGUAAUACAUACUUAGUGUGCCUGGCUGUAGACAGUAGUCCAGCUCAGCUCUAGUCAAGCCAAGAUUCAAGUCAGCUAUUCAGUUACUUGAAGCAAGCGAAAUCUUUCAUUCAGUGAAAUCACUGUGGAGUCUUGAAAUACUGGACAAUUGCCUUAAGUCUUCACUUGACUGACCGCUGGGACAGACUGUCUGAGGUGUGUCUAUAUUAGUGUGUUUUCAGCACUUCACACCUUCUUUAUAGACUCUGAAGGCUGUCUUAGAGUUUGUGUUGAAACAAUACAUUUUGCACUGUUGUAAUGGGAACACUAACAACAGUUAGUGACUUGUUUAUGGACUGUUUGAAAGUCUCUGACUUAAAUAUUUUGGAAAAAAUGUAGUUUCUUAUGUUUUCUGAGAGCACAGUGAAUUGUGCACUGUUGCUUCACCUCCGUUUUCCUGGUUUUAUUUUCCUCAUGAUAGGAAACAGAAAACUGAAACAUCGAAGCUAAGGUUAUUUGUGGAAUCCAAUGUCUGUAGAUUAUAAUCUAAACUGGAAUUUUUAGGCAGUAAGCCACUACAAAGUGUUUUAGAUAAGACAAUAAAGUUAUAAAUAAAAGUUUAAUGUUUUUACAAAAAUCUUUUUUAGUAUUUCUUUUCCACAGGAAAGCAGUAGUUCAGAUCAAGCUAUGCUGUUUAAUAAAUUGUUGUUAGUUUAUGUAAAUACUUGUAAAUUGGUCAAUACCUGUAUUGUACAGUUAAAUAUAAAAAGUAAUCUUGAAGGCGGUUUUAACUUUUUCAAAGAUUGCAAACUUCUUGUAGGCCUACAGGGGUACAGUUUGUACCACUAAACUAUUUUUUGCAGACCAAUUAAAAAACUAAAACUUUCUCUUUGACUUACAAAGGGUGCAUAUUUUCCUUUUUCUUUUUAAGUUUAAAUUUUCGUAUGCUGUCAAUGGAAUAAAGUUUAUAUCUGGAAUUGCUGAGGCGUUAUCUUUCUGUGAACGUUGGUUUUGUACCGAGAUUGAGGCUGUGGUUAUCUUAACCGAUCUGAACCUUGAUUGUUUAAUCCAGAGUCCCUGGGAUGAAGUCAUCCAUGGCUAGCCGCCAAUCACAUUAUUUCUCUGCCAUAAUUAGGAAUAGAGCUUUCUCUAUGGGUCAGUUUUUUAGAUUACUGAUCUGUAGUACUUUUGAUGUAAAAAUUUUUUGUAUGAUUUUUUUCUUGGAAAAAUUUCUAAGAUUUAUUCCACACUAUGCAGCGCUUUCUCAGAAUGUAUUGAGUAUGACAGUUCAGCGUGACCCCAGGUACUGUUUGUAAGUCAUAGUCCCUUGGGGAUGGCUGUUCAGCAUUAUGGCAUUAAGAAAGCCUCAGACUCUGCCACAGCGUGGGCUCCUGCAUUGCCACCACGUUGUGACAGCCGAUCUGUUGUGACAAAUAGGCCAAAAAGCUGAUGAAUUUUAUCCUGGAACUAAGGAGCCAGCACUUAAGACCAUGCGGCAGUCCAGUUGGAUCAGGGAAGAGGGCUGUUCAUAUAUGGUGAGACAGGCUUUUUUUUUUUUUUUUUUUUAAUUUAUUUUCACGGAUGGGAUUGAACUAAGCCUGGGUCUGCUAGGCAAGUGCUCCACCCAUUGACCUAUUUCCCCAACUGGAGACUUGGAAGUCUUUCCCAUUUCAAUUUUGUGUGAAUGCCACAGUUUUUGUUUGUAUGUGCUGUUAAAAUAUUAGUAUUAUUAGGGGCUGGGGAUUUAGCUCAGUGGUAGAGCGCUUACCUAGGAAGCGCAAGGCCCUGGGUUCGGUUCCCAGCUCCGAAAAAAAGAACCAAAAAAG